rnacentral:rRNA from 1 species
UACGUAGGGUGCAAGCGUUGUCCGGAAUUACUGGGCGUAAAGCGUGCGCAGGCGGUGAUGUAAGACCGAUGUGAAAUCCCCGGGCUUAACCUGGGAACUGCAUUGGUGACUGCACGGCUAGAGUGUGUCAGAGGGGGGUAGAAUUCCACGUGUAGCAGUGAAAUGCGUAGAGAUGUGGACGGAAUACCGAUGGCGAAGGCCAGCCCCCUGGGAUAACACUGACGCUCAUGGCACGAAAGCGUAGGGGAGCAAACAGG